rnacentral:misc_RNA from 1 species
CAAAUGUAAUUUGUUGACGUUGAAUCCUACUCGUCUAAUUUUAUCUGGUUUUGCUGGAUACUGUUAUUAUAGGUUGUAGCUACAUUCGCAUCCAAACGGGGUAGAAUGUGGGCAUGGGAGAUUCUUACAAGUCUUGAUUCUUGGAGAAUGAAAGCCAGAGUGCCUAUCCUUAAAAUUUAUGAUUGUUUCAAUCUGAUUUUCUCAAUUGUCACCC